UACGGAGGAUCCAAGCGUUAUCCGGAAUCAUUGGGUUUAAAGGGUCCGUAGGCGGUUUAUUAAGUCAGUGGUGAAAGCCCGCAGCUCAACUGUGGAACGGCCAUUGAUACUGAUAGACUUGAAUUAUUGGGAAGUAACUAGAAUAUGUAGUGUAGCGGUGAAAUGCUUAGAUAUUACAUGGAAUACCGAUUGCGAAGGCAGGUUACUACCAAUUGAUUGACGCUGAUGGACGAAAGCGUGGGGAGCGAACAGG
rnacentral:rRNA from 1 species